AGUGAACGCUGGCGGUAGGCCUAACACAUGCAAGUCGAACGGCAGCACAGUAAGAGCUUGCUCUUACGGGUGGCGAGUGGCGGACGGGUGAGGAAUACAUCGGAAUCUACUUUUUCGUGGGGGAUAACGUAGGGAAACUUACGCUAAUACCGCAUACGACCUGCGGGUGAAAGCAGGGGAUCUUCGGACCUUGCGCGAUUGAAUGAGCCGAUGUCGGAUUAGCUAGUUGGCGGGGUAAAGGCCCACCAAGGCGACGAUCCGUAGCUGGUCUGAGAGGAUGAUCCGCCACACUGGAACGUAGACACGGUCCCGGCUCCUACGGGAGGCAGCAGUGGGGAAUAUUGGACAAUGGGGGCAAGCCUGAUCCAGCCAUACCGCGUGGGUGAAGAAGGCCUUCGGGUUGUAAAGCCCUUUUGUUGGGAAAGAAAAGCAGCAGGUUAAUACCCCGCUGUUCUGACGGUACCCAAAGAAUAAGCACCGGCUAACUUCGUG
rnacentral:rRNA from 1 species